rnacentral:lncRNA from 10 species
GGGGCGGUAAGGCUCAGGCAUGGCGGGCUGCAGGUCCUGAUCCCUGCCCGGCGGGGAGGCAGCUAAGGCCUGGCGAGAAAUCGAGCACAGCAGCUGCUGGCCCAGGUGCUAAGCCCCUCACUGCCCGGGAUCGGCGGGGCUGGCCGGCAGCUCCCAGUGCGGGGCCCUCCGAGCCCACGCCCCACCGGGAACUCCCGCUGGCUCGCAAGCGCCGGGCGCAGCCCCAGUUCCCGCCCGCGCCUCUCCCUCCUCACCUCCCAGCAAGCUGAGGGAGCCGGCUCCGGCCUCGGCCAGCCCAGGAAGGGACUCCCACAGUGCAGCGGCGGGCUGAAGGGCUCCUCAAGUGCCGCCGGAGUGGGCGCCCAGGCAGAGGAGGCGCCCAGAGCGAGCGAGGACUGCGAGGACUUGCCAGCACGCUGUCACCUCUCACUUCCAGAACUAGCCACAUCUCUAAGGAGCUCUCAUUCCUGUUAAUGAAGAAUGAUAUUUACAAACCAAAAUCCAGGAACUAGGUUUAGGAGCAAGAUAAUGGAAUAGAAGCCUACAACAUUUGCUCUCCGACCCCACUGGAAAACCAAAUGACUCUUGGGUUUCCUGACACCAGGCCUAGGUGGUGGGACAGCAUUUCUGGACCUGCCCUGGGAAAGAAGGGAGCUUAACAGUCCUGAAAGGACAGACUAGUUCUCCGUCCCUUGCAGCUCAUGGGCUGAGUUCUGACCAAUGGGAUGUAGACAGAGAUGAUGCGCAAUCUUGAAAGGAUAUUACUCUGUCGCCCAAGCUGAAGUGCAGCGGCAUGACCAUAGCUCAUUGCAGUCUCAACCUCCUGGGUUCAAGUCAUCCCCGUGCCUCAGCCUCCCAAGUAGCUGGGACUGCAGGUGUGUGCCACCACUCCCAGCUAAUCUUUUAUUUUUUGUAGAGGUGGAGUCUCACUAUAUUGUCUAGGCUGAUCUCGAAUUCCUGGGCUCAAGCAAUCCUGCCACCUAGGCCUCCCCAAUUCUGGGAUUACAGGUGUGAGCCACCUUUCCCAGCCUUAGUAGUUUUGUCUUUAUAUAUAAAUUUUCCUAUCAGUUUGUGGAUAUCUUUGUAUAUUAAAAAAGCUUACUGAGGUUUUCAGUGGGAUUGCAUUAAAUCUUUAGAUCACAUUGGAAAGAAUAGCCAUUUUAGCUAUAUUGAGUCUUCUAAUCUAUAAACACAAAUUUCCUCUAAUUAUGUUUAUCUUCUUUGGUUUCUUUCAUUAGUGUUUUUUCAGGUUUUUGUGUAAGUCUUAAACAUAUUUUAUCAGAUUUAUACCAAAGUGCUUUGAUGUUUUGGAGCUAUUAUAAAUAUUUCAGAUUUCCUAACUUGAAAUUCAGAUUCUUGAUUGCUAUUAUAUAGCAAAGCCAUUUACUAUCAUACAUUGACCUUGUUUCUGAGCCCUUGCUCAACUUGCUUAUCAUUCCAGGAGUUGUGUUAUUGUGUUUUGUUUUUAAGAUUCUUAUAUUUUCUGCAUAGACAAUCAUGUCAUCUGCAAAUAGAGAUAAUUGUAUUUUUCUUUCCAAACUGUACAUUAAAAAAAUUUUUUUUCUUGUCUUAUUGAACUAGCUAGGACAUAGAGAGAAAUGUUGAAUAGGAGCGGUGAUUGAGGAUAUUCUUGUCUUGUUUCAAGUUUGUAUUCUUUAUUCUUGGAUUCCAAAUUAAGCCAACAUCAUUUCUUGAAGAGUCCAUUCUUCUCUGUUGAUCAACAAAUGUCCCUUUUUAAAUCAUACACCGAAUGUCCGUAUAUGAGUUGGUCUGUUUCUAUGUUAUCUCUUCUAUUCUGUUUGGUUUAUUUUUUACCCAACCACCAAUUCACAUAUUCUUGAUUACCAUAGUUUUAAUAGCAACUCUUAUUAUCUAGUAGGCAAUUUCCACAUCUUGUUCUUCUCCAGGGGAAUCUUGACUGUCCUUAACACUUCUUUUCUCCAUAAAAAUUUUAGAAUCAGCUUUCCAUCUUUUAUAAAAAUAACUGUUGGGGGUUCCACAGGGAUUCCAUUGACUCUAUAAAACAAUUUGGGUAGAAUUGAUAUAUUGACAAUAUUGAGCUUUUAAUUCACAAAAAUGUGUGUCUUAUCAUUCAAUGAUUUUCUUAAUUUUCUUGACUUAAUUCCAUAAAUUUUCUCUGUAAAGUUCACAUAAAUAUUUGUUAAAUUUAUUUCCAGAUACUUGCUAUUUUUAAUCUUAUUGUAAAUGGUAUUAAAAAUUAUAUUUAAAUUCUUGUUCUUCGUAAAUAGAUAUGCAAUUAACUUUGUUAUAAGGAAUAAAUACCUAAAAAAUUAACUUUCUUAUUAUUUCUUAUACAUUUUACUGCAGAUUGUUUUGUAUUAUCUAUAUACACAAUCAUAUCAUUUGUAAAAAUGACAAUUGUUUAUAAUUUCAACAUAUUUUGUUUUUACUCUUUGUCUUAUGGUGGAGGUGAAGACCUGCAAGAUAAGGUUGAAUAGUUGUGUACAGCAUCCUCGCCUCAAAUGGAGAUCUUUCAAAGUGUCACUCUUUAGCAGGAUUUCAAAGAGAGGCUGUUUGCUUGACUGAAGGAAGUGCCUUUUGACAGAAGAUGCAAUUUAUGUUAUAUGAAUGAUAUUUCUGAUGGCCAAAAGGACCUGUGAUAGCCUGAGAGUCAAAGACAAGCAGGAACGCAUCUGUAGUCAAACAAGGUCAGGUUUAUUUAGUGGACUGCAUCAAAUAAGAACACCCCCAAAUAGGAACUUGGGGCACCUCAGUAAUGGAGAUUUCACAGGAGUUGUUUAUAUGUUUGUGCUUGUGCUUGAUAUUCCCAAGGCAGAUAUGGAAUGAAUCCUGGCUUGGAUUGGUUCUUGUCAACAAGGAGGAGCAGGUUAGCAAUCAGAUUCUCGGUAUUCAUUGUUCAGGUGGUGCUGUAUGUCCCCUCCAAAAGCAUGUUGAAAUUUAAUUGCCAAUAUAAUUGUAUUGUGAGGUAGGACCUUUAAGAGGGGUUUGGCUCAUUGAAGCUCCACCCUCAUGAAUAGAUUAAUGUCAUUAUCGUGGGAGUGGGAUUGUUAUCAUGGGAAUGGGCUCCUGAUAAAAGAGUGGUUUCUGCCUGAUCUCCUCUUUCCCUCUCUCGCAUGCUCACUUGCCCUUCCACCAUAUUAUGAUGCAGCAGGAGGGCCCUCACCAGAUGCUGAUAACAUUUUUUUAACUUCUCAGCCCUCAAAACUGUGAAGAAUAAUUUCUUUCUUUUAUACAUCACCUAGUCUGUGCUAUUCUGUUAUAGCAGAAGACAAUAAACUAAGACAGACAUCGGGAAAACAACACGGGCUUGGGGACAUCAUUUAUAAGAAAGUGAUAAUCACUCAGAGAAAAAAAUGAUUAGUCAUAUUUUCAGCUAUAGUGUGGCCUUUUGUAUAAGCACUGUAUACAAAAAUGCUAUAUCCCAUUGGAAGCAUUUUUUUUUUUUUUUGAGAAGGAGUCUCACUCUGUAACUCAGGCUAGAGUGCAGUGGCACGAUCUCGGCUCACUGCAACCUCCUCCUCCUGGGGUCAAGCGAUUCUCCUGCCUCAGCCUCCCGAGUAGCUGGGACUACAGGUGUGCACCACCGGGCCCAGGUAAUUUUUUUGUAUUUUUGGUAGAGACAGGAUUUUACCAUGUUGGCCAGGCUGGUCUCGAACUCCUGACCUUUUCACUUUCUCAAAAAGAAUAUUGUGACACAACCAUGAAGUGAAGAGUUCUAAGAUCCAACAUAGUCUCACUGAGUUGAUGCAUGUUUUUACCUGACUUCUGAUCAUUUUAUAAACAAUUAAAAUAGUACAGCGGGACAGGACCUUAGAAAUUGUCAUUAUAUGUAUGGAGAGCCUGGAGCACAUUCCCAGGGUCUGCCAAGCAGUUUGUGCCAAAAGAAGGAUUAGGACCCAGAUCUCUGACAAUUAGACAAGGAUCCUUCACAGGACAUCUAUUUUCAUCCUGGUACACACACACACACCUGUACCAAUUUCAGGGGUAAAGUAUUUUGCAAGUGAUUUACUACUAAUAAGAGUGAAAAUACUGGAGUGAUUCUCUAUUACUGUUUUCUCACUGUAAAAAUUUCAAGCAUACAAUCAUAAUAAAGUUAUCUCUUUACUUCAAUCUCCUUUCUCAUCUCCAUAUGGAUAAAUAUGUGUAUCUGACUAUUAUAUUAAAGUAAUGAUAUAGUAGUACAUAUUGUUUUGCUGUUGGCUUUUCCCAAUUAAUAACACACUUUGGAUACUGUUCUGUGUCAGUGUCAAUAAAAUCUGUAAACAUAGAUAACAUUAUUUUAUUAUUUUACAAGGUGAAGAUGUCCUUAAUGAUAUUCAAUAUACUUUUCUACAUUUACAGACUAUGUACAUUUUGUAGAUAGAACUUUUUUAUUAAAAUUAACGUUAUUAACCAUUUAUUUAAAAUACUCACAAAUAUUUUUAUUCAAAAAUUAUCUUGAGUAGUAAGGUUAUUGAGAUGCACAAUAAAUGAGCUACGUACUGCUUAUGAGAGAUGGUAGGCCAUUCUUUCUGUGGAUCAUAAGAAAUAUUUUAAAUAAAUAAAUAGUUUGAAU